AUUGAACGCUGGCGGCAUGCUUUACACAUGCAAGUCGAACGGCAGCACGAAAGAGCUUGCUCUUUUGGUGGCGAGUGGCGCGCGUGUGAGUCAUGCAUCGGACCGUACCGAGUAAUGGGGGAUAACUGUCCGAAAGGAUAGCUAAUACCGCAUACGCUUUGAGAAGGAAAGUGGGGGCUCUUCGGACCUCACGUUAUUCGAGCGGCCGAUGUCUGAUUAGCUAGUUGGUGGGGUAAAGGCCUACCAAGGCGACGAUCAGUAGCGGGUCUGAGAGGAUGAUCCGCCACACUGGGACUGAGACACGGCCCAGACUCCUACGGGAGGCAGCAGUGGGGAAUUUUGGACAAUGGGCGCAAGCCUGAUCCAGCCAUGCCGCGUGUCUGAAGAAGGCCUUCGGGUUGUAAAGGACUUUUGUUAGGGAAGAAAAGGAUAGUGUUAAUACCAUUAUCUGCUGACGGUACCUAAAGAAUAAGCACCGGCUAACUACGUG
rnacentral:rRNA from 1 species